AAUCAAAGGUCCUUGUAUGUUAGGCUGGUCUCAAACUCCUGGCCUCAAGCGAUCCUCCUACCUUGGCGUUCUAAAGGGAUUACUGGUAUAAGCUACUGCACCUGGCCUAUUUGUUGUUAAAUGAAAACAUAGUCUUCCUUAGGAGGAUAUUCUCUCCCACAAGUACCUUGAUGUGCAUGAGUGUUAGAAUACUACUACAUUGUAGAAUGAGGUGGGAAGAAAGUGAGAUCCUUUGAUAAAACAGAAAUCUUAAAGAACUGUAAUAAGAAUUGACAUCAGGACUCCCAUGGUACAUAUAUUGGUAUGUGAAAAAAUAAUGGCAGAAAAUGUCCCAAACUGAUGAAAAUCUUAAUCUACACAUCAAAAAAGCUCAACAACUCCAAGUAGAAUAAGCUGAAAGAGGUACACACCUACACAUGUAUUAGUCAAACUGUCAAAGAUAAAAAUGAAUCCCAAAAGCAGCCAGCAAAAAUGAUUCAUCACAUACAAGGGAUCUGCAAUGAAAUGAACAGCUGACAUAUGAUCUGAAACUAAGAAGGCCAAAAAAGUUGGAUGACAUAUUUAAAGUGCUAAAAGAAAAAGAAUCUCACACAAAAAUUCUAUAUUGAGCAAAAUUUUCUUUCAGAAGUGAAGGGGAGUUUAAGACAUUCUCAGAUAAACAAAAACUGAGAAAAUUUACUGCUAGCAGAUCUCCCUCACAAGAAAUAGUAUAGGGAAUUCUUCAGGCAAAAUUAAACAACACUAGAGAGUAACUUGAAUCCACACAAAGAAAUAAAGAGCAUAAGUAAAGUUAAGUACAUGGUGAAAUUGAGUUUGAUAUUGUCCAGUCUGAGGAACAAAAAGAAAAAAA